rnacentral:rRNA from 1 species
UACGUAGGGUGCGAGCGUUGUCCGGAAUUAUUGGGCGUAAAGAGCUCGUAGGCGGCCUGUUGCGUCUGCUGUGAAAGCCCGGGGCUUAACCCCGGGUCUGCAGUGGAUACGGGCAGGCUAGAGUCCGGUUGGGGAGACUGGAAUUCCUGGUGUAGCGGUGGAAUGCGCAGAUAUCAGGAGGAACACCGGUGGCGAAGGCGGGUCUCUGGGCCGGUACUGACGCUGAGGAGCGCAAGCGUGGGGAGCGAACAGG